UACGAAGGUCCCAAGCGUUGUUCGGAAUCACUGGGCGUAAAGGGAGCGUAGGCGGCUGAUUAAGUCGGAUGUGAAAGCCCCGGGCUCAACCUGGGAACUGCAUUCGAUACUGAUCGGCUAGAGUAUGAGAGAGGGAGGUAGAAUUCCACGUGUAGCGGUGAAAUGCGUAGAUAUGUGGAGGAAUACCAGUGGCGAAGGCGGCCUCCUGGCUUAAUACUGACGCUGAGGUGCGAAAGCGUGGGGAGCAAACAGG
rnacentral:rRNA from 1 species